AGAAUUUGAUCACAUGUAAUGCUUAACGUA
rnacentral:piRNA from 1 species